CAGAUGUGAUGAUCUCCUUUCUUAAAUCUUUACAUGUUUGAGAGGCUGAGGCAGGAGGAUCGCUUGAGGCUAGGAGUGAGGCAGCCUGGGCAAUACAGGGAAACCCCAUCUCUACAAAAACUUAAAAAAUUAGCCAGGCGUGUGGCAUGCCUCUAGUCCCAGCUACUCAGGAGACUGAGGUGGGAGGAUCCCUGAGCCCGGGAGUUUGAGGAUGCAAUGAGCUGAGAUUGCGCCACUGCACUCCAGCCUGGGUGGCAGAGCGAGACCCUGUCUCAAAAAGUAAAAAUAUUGAAAGGUUAUUACUGCAAAUGUAGUGCCUUGUACAUAGGGACCCACUGUGAGAUAAGCGUGAACCCGUGUUCCUCCAACCCAUGCCUCUAUGGGGGCACGUGCGUUGUCGACAACGGAGGCUUUGUUUGCCAGUGUAGAGGAUUAUAUACCGGUCAGAGGUGUCAGCUUAGUCCAUACUGCAAAGAUGAACCCUGUAAGAAUGGUGGAACAUGCUUUGACAG
rnacentral:sRNA from 1 species